ACAACACAAUUUUUAAACCUUAAAUUUAAAACAGAAAUUAUCCAAAGGUUACAAACCAAAUGUCCAAACAUAAAAUUUAAAAUGGGAGGCAUUAUUAAACUCAAUGUACAUGUGUGCAAGGGCAGCAACUCCUCGUGCAUAAUCAGAGACAAGCUCCAAGUCUUCGAAAUACCUCAAGUAAGCGACAUCCACAUAGGUGACACUCUUGUUAGCGAACAACAUGAUAUCCACCAAGUAGAGCAGAUAUAUGUGGAGAGAUUUUUCUCGCUUCUCCUGCAUCUCAGCUAUAUGAUCAGCCUUGCAGGCCUCCUUUGCCUCCCGAAGACGCUCCUUGCAAAUAUCCUUCAACGAGCUAAAUAGUGCUUGAACACCAUUUGUCCUUUCCAUAUGCUCCCAUGCCUUGACCACAACAACUCCAACAGCUGCACCAUCAUGUCAACAACCUGGGCCCUUAACUAGAAUCUCAAUUUAGGAUUCCUCACUACAAUUUUACUUAAAAAUUUCAACUCAUUGUUUGUGAUUUUGUCUGCGCAUUCUCGGUCACUACUAGCACUUCUCUGCUUGCAAUUUCAUCAUGUACUCAUCCUUCCACGUUUGUAUUUUGUUGUAACAUAUUUUCUUUAUCUUCUAUUCAAAAACCCUUUGUUGCUAGUUGUUCUCUGGCAAGAAAUGAGAGGUAGAAUGUUCAAUUGAGUACUAUAUUUCGUUAAGG
rnacentral:lncRNA from 1 species